GGAAUUGGUCAGGGAGGCGGUCAGGGAAGCGGUCAGGGAAAUGGUCAGGGAGGCGGUCAAGGAAAUGGUCAGGGAAAUGGUCAGGGAAGCGGUCUUUGAAACUUUCAUAGGAAUUUUGCAUGGGCACCUACUGGAGAUCUUUUCCAUUCAGUGCUUUAUUCAUAUGGCAUGUUUUCCCACUUUGCUCAAACAGUUUGGAAAGAUUGUCGCCCCCGCCCC